AAAGGGAUGGUUAUGGUAAUCUCAUUAUUAUAGUACAUACUAUAGUCUUAAUAUGUAUCUCAUAGUAGUGAUUAUUGUAAACAUUACCAUCUCUGUAUUGUCUAAAAUGCUCUUAAAUUAUCAUUGUGGCAGUAUGGAUCCAAGAUGAGUGCUUAUGAGCAUCUUUACAUAAACACUUAAUUGUUCCAAAUUUCUGACUUUGCUGAGUUCCUUGAACACAUGGGGACA
rnacentral:lncRNA from 1 species